AUAAAUGCAAGGAAAAAGAGGAGUACCAUAAAAGAACUGCCAGAGAGGAAGAUCCACAGGCUGAAAGGUCUUUCGAGGAAAUUUGUGGGAAGGUAGCUUUGGAGCAGCACAUCCGAAAUGUUCAGUAGGAUGCGCCGGGUCGUUCCCGUUACAGAAUAAGAUGAGUGAUAAAUUAAGGUGGUAACGCGUAAGAUACGCCCUUUGG
rnacentral:ncRNA from 1 species